UGCGCUAAUAGAUGAGCCUAAGUCGGAUUAGCUAGUUGGUGGGGUAAAGGCCUACCAAGGCGACGAUCUGUAGCGGGUCUGAGAGGAUGAUCCGCCACACUGGGACUGAGACACGGCCCAGACUCCUACGGGAGGCAGCAGUGGGGAAUAUUGGACAAUGGGGGGAACCCUGA
rnacentral:rRNA from 1 species